rnacentral:rRNA from 1 species
GUAGUAAUUCUAGAGCUAAUACAUGCCACUAUGCCCUGACCCGCAAGGGAAUGGGUGGAUUUAUUAGAACAGAACCAACCGGUUGCGGCUUCGGCUGCUUCCGUUGCACUCUGUGAUGACUCUGGAUAACUUCACUGAUCGCAGUCGGCCUUGUGUCGGCGACGGAUCUUUCAAAUGUCUGCCCUAUCAAUUUUCGAUGGUAGGUGACCUGCCUACCAUGGUGAUAACGGGUAACGGGGAAUCAGGGUUCGAUUCCGGAGAGGGAGCCUGAGAAACGGCUACCACUUCCAAGGAAGGCAGCAGGCGCGCAAAUUACCCAAUCCCAGCACGGGGAGGUAGUGACGAAAAAUACGGAUACGGGACUCAACAGAGGCUCCGUAAUUCGAAUGAGUACAAUUUAAAUCCUUUAACGAGGAUCAACUGGAGGGCAAGUCUGGUGCCAGCAGCCGCGGUAACUCCAGCUCCAGAAGCGUAUAUUAAAGUUGUUGCAGUUAAAAAGCUCGUAGUUGGAUCUGGGUCGCAUGGCUACAUGCCGUUGCUCGUAUUCCUGGUCUGGUUACGAUCGGAUCGGGUUUGUGGGUCGGUGUCGUGGUUGUGCAGCCUUUCUGCCGUGUCUGUUUUACAGGUGCUGAUUAUCGAUGAGUUCGCUCGUCGUUUAGUUGGCAUGCUUCUCGAUGCCUUUAACCGGGUGUCGGAUGCGGACGGCACGUUUACUUUGAACAAAUUUGAGUGCUCAAAGCAGGCCAUUGAGCCUGAAAAUUCUUGCAUGGAAUAAUGAAAUAGGACUUCGGUUCUAUUUUGUUGGUUUUCGGAUCCGAAGUAAUGGUUAAGAGGGACAAACGGGGGCAUUUGUAUGGCGGUGUUAGAGGUGAAAUUCUUGGAUCACCGCCAGACAAUCUACAGCGAAAGCAUUUGCCAAGGAUGUUUCAUUGAUCUGGAGCGAAAGUCAGAGUUCG